AAAUACCAAAAUACUUAAAUUAAUUUAUUUUCUAUCCAAAUAUUUAAGCUAAACCAAUUUUUAUGUUAAGUUUAAGUAUUUUGUCAUACAUUUUUAAAAUUUGUAUGUUAUCUAUUAUUUUAUUUUCAUAUUUGUAAAAGUUUAAAGUAUAUAUAAAUAUUAAUUUUUAAGAAAUUAAUUUAAACGAGUUAUCCAAAUUUGAACCGAACUCGCAAGAAUCCGAACCAAACCCAAAACGAAAUUUAUAAAUACACGCAGAGGGUCAAAAUAUGUAACCCCAAAAACAUGAAACCCGAAUAACCUUAAACCGAACCUGAAUGGUACCUGAAUGCUCAUAUCUAA
rnacentral:lncRNA from 1 species